rnacentral:rRNA from 1 species
GUCGCACCUACCGAUUGAAUGGUCCGGUGAGGACUCGGGACUGUGGCCUUUGCUAUUCACUUAGUGAAGGCCGCGGGAACUUGUCCAAACCUUAUCAUUUAGAGGAAGGUG